UUGGGAUAUAGCCAAGUGGCACGGCAGUAGCUUUUGGUGCUAUGUAUCAGAGGUUCGAAUCCUUUUGUCCCAGG
rnacentral:tRNA from 1 species